rnacentral:rRNA from 1 species
CUUCCAGACUCCUACGGGAGGCAGCAGUGAGGAAUAUUGGUCAAUGGACGAGAGUCUGAACCAGCCAAGUAGCGUGAAGGAUGACUGCCCUAUGGGUUGUAAACUUCUUUUAUAUGGGAAUAAAAUGUUCCACGUGUGGGAUUUUGUAUGUACCAUAUGAAUAAGGAUCGGCUAACUCCGUGCCAGCAGCCGCGGUAAUACGGAGGAUCCGAGCGUUAUCCGGAUUUAUUGGGUUUAAAGGGAGCGUAGGUGGAUUGUUAAGUCAGUUGUGAAAGUUUGCGGCUCAACCGUGGAAUUGCAGUUGAAACUGGAGGCCUUGAGUGCACACAGGGAUGCCGGAAUUCAUGGUGUAGCGGUGAAAUGCUUAGAUAUCAUGAAGAACUCCGAUCGCGAAGGCAAGUGUCCGGGGUGCAACUGACGCUGAGGCUCGAAAGUGCGGGUAUCAAACAGGAUUAGAUACCCCCGUAC